AGCGAACGCUGGCGGCAGGCCUAACACAUGCAAGUCGAGCGGCCGUAGCAAUACGGCAGCGGCAGACGGGAGAGUAACACGUGGGAACGCGCCCUUCGGUUCGGGAUAACUCAGGGAAACUUGGGCUAAUACCGGAUACGCCCUUACGGGGAAAGAUUUAUUGCCGAAGGAACGGCCCGCGUCCGAUUAGCUUGUUGGUGAGGUAACGGCACACCAAGGCGACGAUCGGUAGCUGGUCUGAGAGGGAGACCAGCCUCACUGGGACUGAGACACGGCCCUGACUCCUACGGGAGGCAGCAGUGGGGAAGAUUGAACAAUGGGCGCAAGCCUGAUCCAGCCAGGCCGCGUGGGUGAUGAAGGCCCUAGGGUUGUAAAGCCCUUUCAGCGGGGAAGAUAAUGACGGUACCCGCAGAAGAAGCCCCGGCUAACUUCGUGCCAGCAGCCGCCGUAACAC
rnacentral:rRNA from 1 species